GACGAACGCUGGCGGCGUGCUUAACACAUGCCAGUCGAACGAAGAGCGAUGGAAGCUUGCUUCUAUCAAUCUUAGUGGCGAACGGGUGGGUAACGCGUAAUCAACCUGCCCUUCAGAGGGGGACAACAGUUGGAAACGACUGCUAAUACCGCAUACGAUCUAACCUCGGCAUCGAGGAUAGAUGAAAGGUGGCCUCUACAUGUAAGCUAUCACUGAAGGAGGGGAUUGCGUCUGAUUAGCUAGUUGGAGGGGUAACGGCCCACCAAGGCGAUGAUCAGUAGCCGGUCUGAGAGGAUGAACGGCCACAUUGGGACUGAGACACGGCCCAGACUCCUACGGGAGGCAGCAGUGGGGAAUCUUCCGCAAUGGACGAAAGUCUGACGGAGCAACGCCGCGUGAGUGAUGACGGCCUUCGGGUUGUAAAGCUCUGUUAAUCGGGACGAAAGGCCUUCUUGCGAAUAGUUAGAAGGAUUGACGGUACCGGAAUAGAAAGCCACGGCUAACUACGUG
rnacentral:rRNA from 1 species